rnacentral:rRNA from 1 species
UACGAAGGGGGCGAGCGUUGUUCGGAUUUACUGGGCGUAAAGGGCGCGUAGGCGGCCCUCCUUGUCGCGUGUGAAAGCCCCCGGCUCAACCGGGGAGAGUCGUCGGGGACGGCAGAGCUUGAGGGCGGGAGGGGUUGGUGGAAUUCCCGGUGUAGUGGUGAAAUUCGUAGAUAUUAGGAAGAACACCAGUGGCGAAGGCGGCUCACUGGCCCGGUACUGACGCUCAUGUGCGAAAGCGUGGGGAGCAAACAGG